GACGAACGCUGGCGGCGUGCUUAACACAUGCAAGUCGAACGGAAAGGCCCUGCUUUUGUGGGGUGCUCGAGUGGCGAACGGGAGAGUAACACGUGAGUAACCUGCCCUUGACUUUGGGAUAACUUCAGGAAACUGGGGCUAAUACCGGAUAGGAGCUCCUGCUGCAUGGUGGGGGUUGGAAAGUUUCGGCGGUUGGGGAUGGACUCGCGGCUUAUCAGCUUGUUGGUGGGGUAGUGGCUUACCAAGGCUUUGACGGGUAGCCGGCCUGAGAGGGUGACCGGCGACAUUGGGACUGCGAUACGGCCCAGACUCCUACGGGAGGCAGAAGUGGGGAAUAUUGCACAAUGGGCGGAAGCCUGAUGCAGCAACGCCGCGUGCGGGAUGACGGCCUUCGGGUUGUAAACCGCUUUCGCCUGUGACGAAGCGUGAAUGACGGUAAUGGGUAAAGAAGCACCGGCUAACUACGUG
rnacentral:rRNA from 1 species